CAUUGUAGGCACCGCUUUGAUUGG
rnacentral:siRNA from 1 species